UAGGGAAUCUUCGGCAAUGGGGGGAACCCUGACCGAGCAACGCCGCGUGAGUGAAGAAGGUUUUCGGAUCGUAAAGCUCUGUUGUAAGAGAAGAACUGUGAGAAGAGUGGAAAGUUUCUCACUUGACGGUAUCUUACCAGAAAGGGACGGCUAACUACGUG
rnacentral:rRNA from 1 species